rnacentral:rRNA from 1 species
CACGUAGGGACCAAGCGUUGUCCGGAUUCAUUGGGCGUAAAGAGCUCGUAGGCGGUUCAGUAAGUCGGGUGUGAAACCUCCAGGCUCAACCUGGAGACGCCACCCGAUACUGCUGUGACUAGAGUCCAGUAGGGGAGCGUGGAAUUCCUGGUGUAGCGGUGAAAUGCGCAGAUAUCAGGAGGAACACCAGCGGCGAAGGCGGCGCUCUGGGCUGGAACUGACGCUGAGGAGCGAACAGG